AGGGCUAUAGCUCAGUUAGGUAGAGUACCUCGUUUACAGAGACUCAAUUUCAAUUUGAAAUUGAUCUAGGCCAAAG
rnacentral:tRNA from 1 species